UUAAUCUUCGGAAGCGGACUGAUCUGACUGAGUGGCGGACGGGUGAGUAACGCGUGGGUAACCUGCCCUGUACAGGGGGAUAACAGUUAGAAAUGACUGCUAACACCGCAUAAGCGCACAGGAAGGCAUCUUUCGGUGUGAAAAUAUUUAUAGGUACAGGAUGGGCCCGCGUCUGAUUAGCCAGUUGGCAGGGUAACGGCCUACCAAAGCAACGAUCAGUAGCCGGCUUGAGAGAGUGAACGGCCACAUUGGGACUGAGACACGGCCCAAACUCC
rnacentral:rRNA from 1 species